UUUUUAUUCCCAAUUACAGUUUUGUGUCUCCAGCUUCUUACUAGACGUUUCCACCUGGAUGUCUUAUUACCUCAAACACAACAUUUCUGAAAUUCAACUUACAUUCUUUCGGAGAUUGGCACUGAGAUUUAUUUUCGGGGAUGCAGUUUCUCUCAGAGAUUAUUGAUGUUUUGCAGCAGUUUUCUACGUCUGAAAUUUUUUAUGUCUCUGGAACCCAGAAUUUAUUAAGAGAUGGAGGAACCUCAGAAAAACUAUCUGAACACAAUGGACCUUGAGAAAGACGAACCUCUCAAAAGCACCGGCCCUCAGAUUUCUGUUAGUGAAUUUUCUUGCCACUGCUGCUAUGACAUCCUGGUUAACCCCACCACCUUGAACUGUGGGCACAGCUUCUGCCGUCACUGCCUUGCUUUGUGGUGGGCAUCUUCAAAGAAAACAGAAUGUCCAGAAUGCAGAGAAAAAUGGGAAGGUUUCCCAAAAGUCAAUAUUCUCCUCAGGGAUGCCAUUGAAAAGUUAUUUCCUGAUGCCAUUAGAAUGAGAUUUGAAGACAUUCAGCAGAAUAAUGACAUAGUCCAAAGCCUUGCAGCGUUUCAGAAAUAUGGGAAUGAUCAGAUUCCUUUAGCUCCUAACACAGGCCGGGCGAAUCAGCAGAGGGGAGGGGGAUUCUUUUCCGGUGUGCUCACAGCUUUAACUGGAGUGGCAGUGGUCCUGCUCGUCUAUCACUGGAGCAGCAGGGAAUCUGAACACGACCUCCUGGUCCACAAGGCUGUGGCCAAAUGGACGGCGGAAGAAGUUGUCCUCUGGCUGGAGCAGCUGGGCCCUUGGGCCUCUCUUUACAGGGAAAGGUUUUUAUCUGAACGAGUAAAUGGAAGAGACAGGGUUUUGCCAUGUCGCCCAAGCUGGUCUUGAACUCCUGGACUCAAACGAUCCGCCCACCUGAGCCUCCCAAAGUGUUGUGAUUAUAGGCAUGAGCCCCUGCACCCUCCUCAUGGAAGAUUCUGAAGACCCACAGUCAGAAAGAUGGAGUCUCGCUCUGUCGUUCAGGCUGGAAUGUAGUGGUGUGAUCCCGGC